rnacentral:rRNA from 1 species
UACAGAGGGUGCAAGCGUUACUCGGAAUUACUGGGCGUAAAGCGUGCGUAGACGGUUAUGUAAGUCAGAUGUGAAAGCCCCGGGCUCAACCUGGGAAUUGCAUUUGAGACUGCAUAGCUAGGGUGCGGAAGAGGGAAGCGGAAUUUCCGGUGUAGCGGUGAAAUGCGUAGAUAUCGGAAGGAACACCGGUGGCGAAGGCGGCAUCCUGGACCGACACUGACGCUGAGGAGCGAAAGCCAGGGGAGCAAACGGG